rnacentral:rRNA from 1 species
UACAGAGGGGGCAAGCGUUGUUCGGAAUUACUGGGCGUAAAGGGCGCGUAGGCGGCCUUCUAAGUCGAACGUGAAAUCCCUGGGCUCAACCCAGGAACUGCGUCCGAUACUGGAAGGCUUGAAUCCGGGAGAGGGAUGCGGAAUUCCAGGUGUAGCGGUGAAAUGCGUAGAUAUCUGGAGGAACACCGGUGGCGAAGGCGGCAUCCUGGACCGGCAUUGACGCUGAGGCGCGAAAGCCAGGGGAGCAAACAGG